rnacentral:rRNA from 1 species
UGGGGAAUAUUGCACAAUGGGCGAAAGCCUGAUGCAGCGACGCCGCGUGAGGGAUGACGGCCUUCGGGUUGUAAACCUCUUUCAGCAGGGACGAAGCGCAAGUGACGGUACCUGCAGAAGAAGCACAGGCUAACUACGUGCCAGCAGCCGCGGUAAUACGUAGGGUGCAAGCUUUGUCCGGAAUUACUGGGCGUAAAGAGUUCGUAGGCGGUUUGUCGCGUCGUUUGUGAAAACAAGCAGCUCAACUGCUGGCUUGCAGGCGAUACGGGCAGACUUGAGUACUGCAGGGGAGACUGGAAUUCCUGGUGUAGCGGUGAAAUGCGCAGAUAUCAGGAGGAACACCGGUGGCGAAGGCGGGUCUCUGGGCAGUAACUGACGCUGAGGAACGAAAGCGUGGGUAGCGAACAGG